GUGAAUUCAAUCCAAGCUGAUCAUGUAGAUUCAAAAUAUGAUGUUUCACUUCUAACAUGAAGUAGCGCAAUUUUACACACAAGCGGAAGCAACAAUUAAUGUCCCAAUAUUCAUACAAAGAACAAGAAGUAUUCCUCAAUUUAGUUUUGAAUUGCGCAGUGUUCCGGUGUGUUUGAUGAGAUAAAUUCCAGUCAUUCGAAUGAACCUAAAUGUUUCAAAUGAAACAGGACAUAUUGUCCACUAAAGUUAUGUAAAAUCCGUCUUCAUUUGAAUACUUUCUUGUCGAGGGGUACCAUAAUAGAUUUUAACUAUGUAUCCUAAAACUAUUUUAUAAUUUCCAAAGUGAAUUUCAUUUGAAACAUCCUUAUUCCUGAACAACCGACGAAGAACUGCGGCCAAAUUUAAUAUGUAAAGAAAAUUAAUACAGAUAUAAAGGAUUAAACACAGUGUAGGAAAAAAUAUAUCAUGUUUUAGUGCUAGGACGUU
rnacentral:lncRNA from 1 species